AACGUGGGCAGUCGCAUUCGUGAGAGCGUCCACAGACACCGCCGUAACAGAUUAGCCCACUCUGCGAGAGGGGGAGAGGGGGAAUGAGGGGAAGAGGGGAAAAGAGAAACGGAGAUCACAGAUCACAGCGCGGGGACGAGAUAACGAGACGCGCGAGUGGCGUCGCUCUCUCGCUCUCUCUCUCUCUCUCUCUCCUUCUCUUUAAAUAGAGCCACGCAGGCCACGCAUCUUUCGCGUUGCGUCACACCUAUCACCUAUCGAGACUCGACGCGCGCGCGUCACUCGCGACCCGACCCGAUCGCGCCAGCUGACACGGGCCACUCGAGAGAUACUGAGAGAUACUAGCCAUCGUGGACCCGGAGGGUCUGGGUGUUAUCGAAGAAGAAGAAGAAGAAGAAGAGAGCCACUCAAGAGAAACCGCACUGACUUUGAGACAACGAAAGAACGCGUGGAAGUCGUCCCAGAUGUAGAUAGCUGAUAAGUAAAGGGGGGCUACAGCCCCACUGUGCGGUAGCAGACGAAGGCUUAACUGGGAGGGGGUUAGAUCUAAGGAUGACGUCGUAACCCAGAAGAGGUUCAUCAGAUCAGACGUGCGCGGGCUACCUUUACGGCGAGACACGGCCGACUAGCGUGGCCGGUGCCGGUCCAACGUGUCAAGCAACGGGGCAUGCCGCAAACACCCCUCCGGGACAGCUCGAGGAGGGAACGCAACGCGGUACUUGCACACAUCAUACGCGCGCGCGUGACACUCACCAGGAGUACUUGCCGCAGAUAGCGAACCCCGUCGUCGGGGUGCGCCGGCGCCGUCGCCGUCGCCGUCGCCGUCGCGGUGGAGCUCACCCCGAGUAGGACAUGCGGACGUUUCGGGUCAAGGUCGACGGCAGGUGGUCCUUCGGGACGUUUGGUAUCCAUUGUAUCCAUUGAGUCGCCUACGAGAGUCCUAAAACAGGCUUUAGAGGGCGAGAGGGGGUGAGAGGCAGGAAACAGCGGGGCUGAGCGGGACAUAAGACGUUGCGCCGGCGCCGCGGCGCCGCCGCGAUCUUAUUGCUAUAAUCGUAAGAUUACGCUAGCGAAUGCGGACUUACAGAUCGAGAGAAACGCUGUGGACCGGAACGUGUCCCCGACGGCAGCGGCCGCGAGAAGUCGCCGACGAAGACUCAAGUCGCGUUCCUGUCGCUCUUUCGGAUUUUGAGUGACUCUGACGUACGAUGCGCUUGACGUAGGAACAAGCUACGAUCAACUUUCGCUGACAACGUCAGUCGAGGGCCGAGGGGUGGUAUCAAUGCACUGAAAACGCGUUUACAACGUGGUGUAAUAGAGUAUACGGAAAAUAUUACGUACGAAUAAAAUGCCUAAUGAUGUAUGUA